rnacentral:rRNA from 1 species
UACGAAGGGUGCAAGCGUUACUCGGAAUUACGUGGGCGUAAAGCGUGCGUAGGUGGUUUGUUAAGUCUGAUGUGAAAGCCCUGGGCUCAACCUGGGAAUUGCACUGGAUACUGGCAGGCUAGAGUGCGGUAGAGGAUGGCGGAAUUCCCGGUGUAGCAGUGAAAUGCGUAGAGAUCGGGAGGAACACCGGUGGCGAAGGCGGCAUCCUGGACCGGCAUUGACGCUGAGGAGCGAAAGCCAGGGGAGCAAACGGG